UACGGAGGGUGCAAGCGUUAUCCGGAUUCACUGGGUUUAAAGGGUGCGUAGGUGGGUUGGUAAGUCAGUGGUGAAAUCCCCGAGCUUAACUUGGGAACUGCCAUUGAUACUAUCAGUCUUGAAUACCGUGGAGGUCGGCGGAAUAUGUCAUGUAGCGGUGAAUGCUUAGAUAUGACAUAGAACACCAUUGCGAGGCAGCUGACUACGCGAGUAUGACACUGAGGCACGAAGCGUGGGGAUCAAACAGG
rnacentral:rRNA from 1 species